UACGUAGGGGGCAAGCGUUGUCCGGAUUUAUUGGGCGUAAAGAGCGUGUAGGCGGUUCGGUAGGUCCGUUGUGAAAACUCGAGGCUCAACCUCGAGACGCCGAUGGAAACCCCCGAACUAGAGUCCGGAAGAGGAGAAUGGAAUUCCUGGUGUAGCGGUGGAAUGCGCAGAUAUCAGGAGGAACACCGGUGGCGAAGGCGGGUCUCUGGGCAGUAACUGACGCUGAGGAGCGAAAGCGUGGGGAGCGAACAGG
rnacentral:rRNA from 1 species